AUUGAACGCUGGCGGCAGGUCUAACACAUGCAAGUCGAGCGGUUGACGGGAGCUUGCUCCCUGAUUCAGCGGCGGACGGGUGAGUAAUGCCUAGGAAUCUGCCUAUUAGUGGGGGACAACGUUUCGAAAGGAACGCUAAUACCGCAUACGUCCUACGGGAGAAAGCAGGGGACCUUCGGGCCUUGCGCUAAUAGAUGAGCCUAGGUCGGAUUAGCUUGUUGGUGAGGUAAUGGCUCACCAAGGCGACGAUCCGUAACUGGUCUGAGAGGAUGAUCAGUCACACUGGAACUGAGACACGGUCCAGACUCCUACGGGAGGCGGCAGUGGGGAAUAUUGGACAAUGGGCGAAAGCCUGAUCCAGCCAUGCCGCGUGUGUGAAGAAGGUCUUCGGAUUGUAAAGCACUUUAAGUUGGGAGGAAGGGUUGUAGAUUAAUACUCUGCAAUUUUGACGUUACCGACAGAAUAAGCACCGGCUAACUCUGUGCCAGCAGCCGCCGUAAAAC
rnacentral:rRNA from 1 species